rnacentral:rRNA from 1 species
GACGAACGCUGGCGGCGUGCUUAACACAUGCAAGUCGAACGCUGAAGACCUGGCUUUUGUUGGGUUGGAUGAGUGGCGAACGGGUGAGUAACACGUGAGUAACCUGCCCUCUUCUUUGGGAUAACGCCCGGAAACGGGUGCUAAUACUGGAUAUUCACUGAUCUUCGCAUGGGGGUUGGUGGAAAGGUUUGUUCUGGUGGGGGAUGGGCUCGCGGCCUAUCAGCUUGUUGGUGGGGUGAUGGCCUACCAAGACUUUGACGGGUAGCCGGCCUGAGAGGGUGACCGGUCACAUUGGGACUGAGAUACGGCCCAGACUCCUACGGGAGGCAGCAGUGGGGAAUAUUGCACAAUGGGCGAAAGCCUGAUGCAGCGACGCCGCGUGAGGGAUGGAGGCCUUCGGGGUGUAAACCUCUUUCGCUCAUGGUCAAGCCGCAACUGUGGGUUGUGGUGAGGGUAGUGGGUAAAGAAGCGCCGGCUAACUACGUG